CAGGUUGCCAUGGUGAUAAGCCCACGUGAGCAUCUCCAUCAUAAUACCAAAGUCUCCCCAGGCUCUACCCAGCCUGGCCUCAAACACAGGUCAGGGGUGGGAAAGAAAUCAUGGAGUCCCCAGGCAGAGGCAACAGUUCCCAUCGGGGUUCUGGGACGGCUGCUCCCCCUCUGAGUCUGACAUGGAAAUUCCUGUAAAGCGGGCUGACUCUGUCCCCCAUCACUGUCCUCAGACGAACGGGGUCUUGAGUGUCUCCUCAGAGACAUUUACUUCUCACAGGGAUAAGGAGCCAAGUGACCACCCAUGGGACUGCUCUAACCGUGUCUCACCCUUAGGAGGGAACCACCUGAGCGUCUCGGGGCUGAAGGAUUGCGUGGAGCUUUAAACGGGAGAGAAGGAGCGUUUCUGAUCUCAUUUUCCAGUAUUUCAGCCGUGCCAUAAUCUAUUUACCACACAAUUUGUGUCACUUUGAUAAGCGGCUGCUUCAAGACUGCAUUUAUUAAAAUCAAGAGCGGGG
rnacentral:lncRNA from 1 species